rnacentral:lncRNA from 1 species
UUUAUCCAAUCGAAAAUUAUAUAUAUCCAGUUACUUGGAUAGAAAUCUAUUACUAUAUAUAAAAGUAGAACCCUUAAUGAAUUCUAUGUGAGAAGCUGACACGUGGCUUUCUAUAUGCUUGCCACGUGUCAAACUCAAAUAUGGAUAUUUGGUUACGAAUUAUUUAAAAUUAUUGGUUUAAUUAAUUAUUUAAAAUUAGGCAGAUAAUUAAUUAUUUAAAAUUAUUGGUUGCGAAAUAAGCAAUAAUCGGUUGCGAAAUAAGCAAUAAUCUAUUGCGAAUUAUUUGAAAUAGUUAGUUGCGAAAAAAAGGGUCACUCCUGUAAUUUUCUUAAUUCUUAAAUAUUGAUGCUUUAAAAUAGAACAUAUAUUUUUUUAUUUUAUUAUUUAAAUAUAAUGUAUUAAUUUUUUUAUUGGAUGUCUUAUUUUUUUCAGGAUAUGACACUUGGAUAUGAUUCAAUACGUGACAUCACUUCUCUUGGAGACAAAUGGAAGAUCAAAGUUAGAGUGAUUUGUCUGUAUACUAUGCCUGAAUUUCAUCGCCCAGAGAUGGUGAAUAGUUAGUUUAGAGUUAGUUCUUUAUGAUCAAAAUGUAAGAUACGAUUUCAUUUUCAAAUUUGAAAUACAUUUGCUUUAUUUUUUUUUUAUAGAGUUAGUUCUUUCUGAUCAAAAUGUAAGAUACGAUUUCAUUUUCAAAUUUAACAUACAUUUGCUUUUUCUUCGCUCUUAAAUAUUGAUGCUUUAAAAUAGAAUAUAUUAUUUCCCUACUAUCACUUCUGUAAUUUUCAUUUCGUAAUUUUUUUUUCCUACUGUCACUCCUGUAACUUUCCAUCUUCAUGCAAUAAAAUUUUUCUUCUUUAUAUUUUCUUGAAAACCAACAUCUAUAUAUUUUUAAAUCUUAAAAGUGACAGUAGGAACAUAAUAUAUGUGUGCUUACUCUAAUUUGUGUCAAAUAUGAAAGUUUAGUUGAUCUCAUUAUAUGCUUAAAUAUUAAUGUCGUUUGUAAUUUUUCAUAUCAAUUUUAGUUAUCAAUUUUAUUUCGCACAUCAAUAUGUAAAUGUAAAUUAUUUUGCACACCAAUUCAUAGAUAAUAGAGCAGGAUUUAAUUUUGCAUUUUAGUUGAAUAUUUACUUUGGUCCAAAUUUUUUUUUCUCUAGCUUGUGUAUUUUAAUAUGUACUAUAAUUAAGAUUGAUAGUAUAUUUUUUUAUUUGUUAAAAAAAAUAAAAUUAAUUAGAAAAUUUUUUUGUUAUCAUCACAUAAUAAUUUUUAUUAUUCUAUAUUAUUAUAUUAGCCGUGCAUCGCACGGGUGAAAAUCUAGUUAAUACAAAUCAUAUACCUUCUCAUUUUAGAAUUUUAAAAAAAAUAAUAAACUUUUUUAGUAAAAAAAAAAAAUAUUUAACACGGCAAGAAAAUAUAAGAUUUGUACUUUUUGUUUGUAUUUGAAAUUU